CCAUUAAAUUCUGGCUCUAGGAUCUUGGAAAAAUCACAUAACUUCUAUACACCUCCUUUUUCUCAACUCUGGGAUGGAAAUGUCACUUUACCUGUCUACACCAUGAGGAUGAGGUGCCUUGGGACUUCUCCAUUAUUGAGAUCCAACUUGUCCAUGCUGCCAUAAGAAGGAAGUUCUCUGCAGCAGGGAGAGGUUUUCCUGGCUACUGGACUCCUGAAAAGGGCCAAACCUGGCCAAAAGAGAGUUGUGAAAAUUUUGAAACCAUGAUCAGCAACAGGGGUUAGAUGGAAUACAUUUGGGAGCUGUGUACAAUUGAAUUCCAGGACAGCCAUUGAAAUCUGCAUUCGAGAAUAAUCUUUCUGUCUGCCAGGAGAAAAUAUUCACUAUAUGACAAGAUGUUUUAAGGCUGAACAACAGAA